rnacentral:misc_RNA from 1 species
UAUUGAUGAAGUGUGGAAGGAUAAUGCUGCUUUGUUGCCUUCUGAUCCUUAUCAGAGAGCUCAGGCCAGGUUUUGGGUUGAUUUCAUCGAUAAGAAGCUUUAUGAUGUUACAAGGAAGAUAUGGGGCAGCAAGGGAGAAGAGCAUGAGACAGGAAAGAAGGAGGUAAUAGAAAUAUUGAAGCAAUUGGAAGAAGUUCUUGGAGAGAAGGAUUACUUUGGAGGUGAAAGUUUGGGAAUUGUAGACAUUUCUUUGAUUGGAUUCUACAGUUGGUUUUAUACCUAUGAGACCAUUGGCAACUUCAGCUUUGAGUCCGAGUGUCCAAAGAUAGUGAGUUGGGGUAAGAGAUGCUUGCAAAAGGAGAGUGUUGCCAAGUCCCUCCCUGACCCAAAAAAGAUCUAUGACUUUGUGGUUCAACUACAGAAAGCUUUGGGGGUUUGACCAAAAAUAAAUUGAAGGAGUUGUGGAGAUAAAUCCAUAUAUAUAUAUAUACUGUUUUAUGCAAUUUGGGGCUUCUGUUAUUUCCUGUUUGGAUCUUGUAAAAGAAAAGAAAAAGGUUCAUUUACACAUUUGAUGUGUGUGAUUUGAACAAUAAUUUGUCAUUGUAGAGUGGGUCACAGUUGAAUAAAUGGCAUGCCCAGCUUUUGUUUUGGUUUUGGUUUUGGUUUUGAUCAAACAGUUCAAUUUUUUCAAUUUUUUAUUUUUAAAAGAAAAAAUUUCUGUUUUGGUCCUAAACUGGACCGAACCAGGAGGUUCCGGUCUGGUUCAAGACUGGUUUUGGGUUCCGGAUUGGAACAGUCCAAUUCCAGUUCUAGUUCUGAACUGGAUUGUGGCCAGUUCUAAGGCGCUCUCUCAAUAAUCAACUCUUAAUA